rnacentral:tRNA from 2 species
GCGCCCGUAGCUCAGCUGGAUAGAGCGUCAGCCUCCGGAGCUGAAAGUCGCGUGUUCGAAUCGCGCCGGGCGCACCA